UAACUUUGUCUUGUUUGAAGGUUCUUCUAAAGGAGUUUUAAUUUGGGUAAUGAUAAGAUUUGCCGGAAGUGAUUGUAAACAUCUUUCUUCUAUUACAAAAUUCCAUAAAUCAUAGGUUCCAAAAUACGAUUUUCUUUUGACCGCCCAAACCUGAUAAUUUUCGUCGGUGAAAGUUUGUGGGGCAUUGAAUGAGACUGCUGCUUGCCAUGUUUGAAAAUGAGUUUAAAAAUUGAUAUUGGUUAAAAAUAAUUUGAAAAUGAUUUUUUGGAAGAACUCACAGAUCCCGUAAGAUCAAUGAGGCUCUGAUACCACUGUUAGUUCGAUUAAAAGUAUUUUGAAAAUGUCUAUCAAUAAUUUUAUUAAGCAUAAAAUGGCUUUAAAUAGCCAAUUUAAGAACAGAAUCUGCAAAAAAUCAGGAGAAUAAAUAUUCAAAUU
rnacentral:lncRNA from 1 species